rnacentral:miRNA from 1 species
GACCCGACUGCGGUAGACAAGUCUGGCUCCAGAACCUGGACACCGCUCAGCCGGCCGCAGCAGGGGUC